ACGGACUGUGUGAGGGCAGACACUUGGUCCAGUUCCUCCACCUGUUUCCUCACCUGUUCAGACUCUGUCAGACUGGUCCAUGGUUCCAGUCGGUGUUCAGGCAGACUGGAGGUCCGCUCCGACCGGUCCUGGUCCUCGGUGUGUGAAGAGAAUUUGGACCUGAACGACACCCAGGUGGUCUGUAGGGAGCUGGGCUGUGGGGCUCCUGGGCUCCUCCAGGGGGGGGCUCUAUGGAGAGGGGGAGGCUCCAGUCUGGACCAGUGAGCUCCAGUGUGAAGGAAAUGAGUCUGUGGUCCUGGACUGUAGGAGGUCCAGCUCAACUAGGAAGACCUGCUCACCUGGACCAGCUGCUGGACUCACCUGUGCAGAUCCAGCUGGUGUCAGGUUGGUGGGACAGCAGAGCCGCUGCGCUGGUGCUUUGGAGAUCCAACACCAGGGACACUGGAGACCAGCAGGAGACGAUGAUAAACACUGGGACCUGAAGUCUGGAUCUAUGGUGUGUCGGUAUCUGGACUGUGGAUCAGCUGUUUCAGUCAACACAACAGAUGAUUCUCCAUACAGACCUGUGUGGUUGGUCUCAGUUCCUUGUGUAAAGCUGACAUCUGGACCGAGGGACUGUGUUGGACUAGAUGGUUCCUAUAAUCACUCAUCUGGUGUGGACAUGGUGUGUUCAGAUCUGCUGCCUCAGCCCAACAUCUCCCUGUCUGACGGGGUCUUUGAGGUCUACCA